rnacentral:lncRNA from 1 species
AAUUUCAGUUUGGUUAUCACAUAGCGUUCAUUUCCCUAAGGGAGGAGAAAAAAUUAAAUUUGUAAGCUUAAGAUUCCAGCUGAAGUACUCAAGAAUCCUGUUUCUCUGACAGAGGAAAGGAACAACAACUUGACUGGACACAUCCUAACCCAACCAUACGCUGUGUUACUUCCUCCACUGCGCCACACACAGCUAUUAUUCUAAGCUCUCUUAUUCAAACCCUUAAGGAUUUGUAAGAUCAUUGCUGCAGUCUCAGUCUGCUCUGCAGGAAUAGACCAUCUGAGGACACAGCACGAAGGUGGCCAUCUGCAAUUCAAGGAGAGAA